rnacentral:rRNA from 1 species
GUAGGCUGCUCAUGCGACGACGGGUAGCCGGCCUGAGAGGGCGACCGGCCACACUGGGACUGAGACACGGCCCAGACUCCUACGGGAGGCAGCAGUGGGGAAUAUUGCACAAUGGGCGAAAGCCUGAUGCAGCGACGCCGCGUGAGGGAUGACGGCCUUCGGGUUGUAAACCUCUUUCAGCAGGGAAGAAGCGAAAGUGACGGUACCUGCAGAAGAAGCGCCGGCUAACUACGUGCCAGCAGCCGCGGUAAUACGUAGGGCGCAAGCGUUGUCCGGAAUUAUUGGGCGUAAAGAGCUCGUAGGCGGCUUGUCACGUCGGAUGUGAAAGCCCGGGGCUUAACCCCGGGUCUGCAUUCGAUACGGGCUAGCUAGAGUGUGGUAGGGGAGAUCGGAAUUCCUGGUGUAGCGGUGAAAUGCGCAGAUAUCAGGAGGAACACCGGUGGCGAAGGCGGAUCUCUGGGCCAUUACUGACGCUGAGGAGCGAAAGCGUGGGGAGCGAACAGGAUUAGAUACCCUGGUAGUCCACGCCGUAAACGUUGGGAACUAGGUGUUGGCGACAUUCCACGUCGUCGGUGCCGCAGCUAACGCAUUAAGUUCCCCGCCAGGAAAAAGUCCGGAA